rnacentral:rRNA from 1 species
GACGAACCGUGCGAACGUUGUUCGGAAUCACUGGGCUUAAAGGGCGCGUAGGCGGGUGUGCAAGUCUGUGGUGAAAGCCUCCAGCUUAACUGGAGAAGUGCCGUGGAUACUGCACAUCUUGAGGAGGGUAGGGGCAUCUGGAACGGUCGGUGGAGCGGUGAAAUGCGUUGAUAUCGACCGGAACUCCGGUGGCGAAGGCGACUUUCUGGUCUGUAACUGACACUGAGGCGCGAAAGCGUGGGGAGC